CCAAUACCCUCCCAAAGCAGGAUCCCCGACCUUGAAGCUGGAGAAGGCACCACUGGAGGAAAUGUUUCUACGCCCCCCCCCGUCAUUUCCGUCCCUGAGAUUAUUGCAGAUUAGAAGGCGGAAAAAAAAA